GACGAACGCUGGCGGCGUGCCUAAUACAUGCAAGUCGAGCGGACCGGAUUGGGGCUUGCCUUGAUUCGGUCAGCGGCGGACGGGUGAGUAACACGUGGGCAACCUGCCCGCAAGACCGGGAUAACUCCGGGAAACCGGAGCUAAUACCGGAUAACACCGAAGACCGCAUGGUCUUCGGUUGAAAGGCGGCCUUUGGGCUGUCACUUGCGGAUGGGCCCGCGGCGCAUUAGCUAGUUGGUGAGGUAACGGCUCACCAAGGCGACGAUGCGUAGCCGGCCUGGGGGGGUGACCGGCCAUACUGGGACUGAGACACGGCCCAGACUCCUACGGGAGGCAGCAGUAGGGAAUCUUCCGCAAUGGGCGAAAGCCUGACGGAGCGACGCCGCGUGAGCGAAGAAGGCCUUCGGGUCAUAAAGCUCUGUUGUGAGGGACGAAGGAGCGCCGUUCGAAGAGGGCGGCGCGGUGACAGUACCUCACGAGAAAGCCCCGGCUAACUACGUGCCAGCAGCCGCAGUAA
rnacentral:rRNA from 1 species